rnacentral:rRNA from 1 species
GACGAACGCUGGCGGCGGGCUUAACACAUGCAAGUCGAACGGAAAGGCCCUGCUUUUGUGGGGUGCCCGAGUGGCGAACGGGUGAGAAACACGUGAGUAACCUGCCCUUGACUUUGGGAUAACUUCAGGAAACUGGGGCUAAUACCGGAUAGGAGCUCCUGCUGCAUGGUGGGGGUUGGAAAGUUUCGGCGGUUGGGGAUGGACUCGCGGCUUAUCAGCUUGUUGGUGGGGUAGUGGCUUACCAAGGCUUUGACGGGUAGCCGGCCUGAGAGGGUGACCGGCCACAUUGGGACUGAGAUACGGCCCAGACUCCUACGGGAGGCAGCAGUGGGGAAUAUUGCACAAUGGGCGGAAGCCUGAUGCAGCAACGCCGCGUGCGGGAUGACGGCCUUCGGGUUGUAAACCGCUUUCGCCUGUGACGAAGCGUGAGUGACGGUAAUGGGUAAAGAAGCACCGGCUAACUACGUG